CAACGCUGGCGGUAUGCCUAAUACGUGCAAGUCGAACGCUGAAGCACUCUGCUUGCAGAGUGUGGAUGAGUGGCGAACAGGUGAGUAACACGUGGGGAACCUGCCCAUAAGAGGGGGAUAACAUCCGGAAACGGGUGCUAAUACCGCAUAGGUGAUCAUAGCGCAUGCUUAGAUCAUUAAAGAUGGCUUCGGCUAUCGCUUAUGGAUGGCCCCGCGGCGUAUUAGCUAGUUGGUGAGGUAAUGGCUCACCAAGGCUGUGAUACGUAGCCGACCUGAGAGGGUGAUCGGCCACACUGGAACUGAGACACGGUCCAGACUCCUACGGGAGGCAGCAGUAGGGAAUCUUCCACAAUGGGCGAAAGCCUGAUGGAGCAAUACCGCGUGAGUGAAGAAGGUCUUCGGAUCGUAAAGCUCUGUUGUUAGAGAAGAACAAGAGGUGUAGUAACUGGCACCUCCUUGACGGUAUCUAACCAGAAAGUCACGGCUAACUACGUGCCAGCAGCCGCGGUAAUACGUAGGUGACAAGCGUUGUCCGGAUUUAUUGGGCGUAAAGCGAGCGCAGGCGGUCUUUUAAGUCUGAUGUGAAAGCCCACGGCUCAACCGUGGAGGGUCAUUGGAAACUGGAAGACUUGAAUGCAGAAGAGGAAAGUGGAAUUCCAUGUGUAGCGGUGAAAUGCGUAAAUAUAUGGAGGAACACCAGUGGCGAAGGCGACUUUCUGGUCUGUAAUUGACGCUGAGGCUCGAAAGCGUGGGGAGCGAACAGGAUUAAAUACCCUGGUAGUCCCCCCGUAAC
rnacentral:rRNA from 1 species